rnacentral:pre_miRNA from 1 species
AUGUCAUCUGAUCUGUCAGUCUACUGAGAAAUAUUACCCUCUCAGUGGAAGAUGUUUCUUUUGUCAU